UACCGGCGAAUUCUAAAUCUAGGAUUAAAAUAUAACCUAGGUUCUAAUAUUAUUAUCUGAUCCCCAUUUAAAAUAAACUCUUGUAUUGUAUCUUGCUUCAAGCAAGCCAUUAUGUAUUUCAUCAAAUCUCAAGUGCUUUUGAGGUUGAGGAUUUUUUAUUCUAACCCUAGGUGUGACUGGGAGAUUUCACAUUACUUCAUCAUGACUGUCCCCUGGUGGGCAGUUAUAGUAUGGCAUAUCAGCAGCAGCUUGCUUACGGAGAUGCAUGCUGAUUUAAAAGAGGUUAAGAUGGGAAAAUAAAGAGAGCACUUUAGAAUUGUUGGAACAGGGUACCUUUGCAUAAAAGAAAAAUUAGGGACGAAUCCUUCAUUUUGCAUACAUUUUCCAUAGUAGGCCCUUACGGCCUCUGGUUCUUUAAAACAUAACCCGGUUUGCUAAAUCCUAGCUGACACACCAUGUUGAUGGAUUAUCGCUGCUCCACAAAGUGGGUGGCAUUUGUGCAGGCAAGCUGUGCUUGUGCCUGCCUGUCACCUGCGGAGAGAAAAUUGCUCUUAUGUUGGUAUAUCGCCCUCAUAAUCUUUCUUUUUCUCUUUCUCUUCCCUUUUGCAAAAUGUAGAUAACAGAAAACUACUUACAGUCUUCAUCUUCUCUUUUAAAUACAAAAAUCAAUAGCAGGCCUCAUCAGAUAGGUUUAAUGGUUUGUGUUCCUCUGUAUUUCAGCCUGGAAAAUGCUGAGGUUUAGUCCUCUGUUUGGUCCUGUUUUAAGCAUGUUCAGAACACAAGCGUGGGAGGUCUGGCUCCUUCACUGUUUACUGGCUGAGCAAGUCUCAUGCCUCCUUGGAUCUUGGUUUCCUUGGAUCUCAAGUGGAAGGGACUUGGUUGUCAACUCCAAGGGACUCCUGGGUGAACCAAACGAGAAAGAGAAGAGACUUGGGUGAUCUACAAGAGAAGGAGCAGCCUUGACUACACGGACUUGCUAGGCCAACUCUGCUAAACAGAAAAGGAAUGGACUGAAAAGCUGGCCUGUGGUUCAGGAACACCAGGGGCCUUGAGAAGCAGGCUGGACGAAGGCCAGGAACGAGGAAGGCCAGGCAGCUGCGGGGCCACGGCCCCAUCUUGCCGUGAGAUGGCCGUCACAUGGAGUACAGCAUCUACUGCUCCCGGGAACCGAAUAUGCUGUGGUUGCCGCUGUCACUGCUGUGGACUCUACCGUUCUCACUGCUGUGGGUCAGUAGCUGCCAAUUCAAAAAGCUGGGCUGGGAGCAUCCGAUCGGUUAAACCUCCAUCACACACUUGCACUUUAACUGCAAAGGAGGCUGGAAGGGGGCUGGGUAAAGGGGAAACUAGGAAAUAAAGCACCUGGAUAACCUCUUUGAUGGGCAAAUACAUUAACUUGCUUGUUAAUAAGUAGAUUUUAUUUUAUAGCUGAAAACACCCUAACAGGCACAAGAGUAUACAUUACUUUUAUAUUCAGAAAAGUGAUAAUUUUUUUUAAAUGCCAAGUUAUUGGGGAUUCUGACCUUGGCUUCCUGAAGCCACAAAAAUAAUUUUCUUCCUCAAAUCCAUUCCUUUGAUAUUUACUUUUGUUAUCUAUUCAUUGACAUUCACUUGGUUAUCUAUUGCCUCAUAUUACUUGUGGUUACGUAAUUUGUACUGUCUUCUCUCCCCGACAAGACCAUGUGGCACAGUGGCCAUGACUCCAGCAUUUGCACAAACCUUGACAUUUGCGCUAGGCUUUCUCCUAAGACCACAGUGGUUGAUACAUUUAAUUUCUUCCCAAGCAGGAGGCUGUGCAAACUGACCAAGUACACAAGGCUCUCUUGGGAGGGCCCUCUGACGUCUCAUCAAAUAGGCAAGGCAACAUCAUCUUCUAAAGAAAAGUCUACAAUGUCUAAGAGACUGGUUUACUCUUGGGAAAGGCAGUGAGUCCAAACCCUGGCACAGUUGGGUGAGUGGGCUCUUCCUUCAAAUUGGACAGCCUGAAGCGCUGAGGGACCUGAGACAGGGACACACACAAGUGACCUCGCUCUGGUUGACAGUGUCCUUGGUAGCAGGGCAAACACCAGGACAGCCAAGUAAGAGGAGAGAGGGAAGUUUCCCUAACAGACAUGCAUUAUGGGUGGGUUACCUGGCUCUGUGGGUGAACUCUGGGAGCUGGCAUGAGUUCUGCCCAGUCAACACCUGGCCCCCAAAGGAAAUCCUAGAGCAAAAGAAUAACAAGAAACCUCUUUGGCAUUGCUCGGAUUGGCUUAUAGAAUAGUUUAUAUGACUCAAAUGUUCCCACAAACCCCAGAAAAUAAAGAAACUGAACCUCUAAUGUUUUGAGUGUGCUAGACAUUUAAGAAAAAAAAACUAUUCUUAUUGAACUUGUUAGCUCAAAAACAUUUUAAGAAUCAAAGUUUACAUAAUGAAGGUGAGUCCUCGAUCAAAUUAUCUUGGUUUAAUAAUUUUGAUUUCAAGAAAUAAUAUUUAUAUGUCUUUACCUUGAGUUUAUCAAUAUGGAGUAUGAUACAAGCAUAGCUUUAACUUUACAAAAUAAGGUUUGGGUUUGAAUCUUAGGAAAAGACUAGUUAAUCUGAAUUUCCUAACCUUUUUAUAUUAGUUUACUGAUCAAAUAAGAUAAAAUACCACUAACUAAUGUUUAAGAUUAUAAAAGUAUAAACUUGUAUCCAACCAAAUUGAGUCAUAAAUUUGACAAACUUAUAUCACCAGUACUUGUGUUAGCUUAAACAUAAUUUCCAAGAUCCUUAAGCAACUUAAAAUUUGGAUUAAUAAAUUGUUAUUAAUGCAUAAUUAUUGGAUACCUACAAGUAAUUUCCAAGUAAUAUGGAAUAUUGAAACAUUGGUUAUUAAGCAUUUUUAGGUUUAUAUACUUUUGCUUCUUAUUUUUAUUCACUAUAGAUUGGCUAUAU